GUUCCACUCAACCAAGAACAAG
rnacentral:snRNA from 1 species